rnacentral:rRNA from 1 species
GUGAGGAAUAUUGGUCAAUGGGCGAGAGCCUGAACCAGCCAAGUCGCGUGAAGGAAGAAGGAUCUAUGGUUCGUAAACUUCUUUUGCAGGGGAAUAAAGUGCGGGACGUGUCCUGUUUUGUAUGUACCCUGAGAAUAAGGAUCGGCUAACUCCGUGCCAGCAGCCGCGGUAAUACGGAGGAUCCGAGCGUUAUCCGGAUUUAUUGGGUUUAAAGGGUGCGUAGGUGGUUUGAUAAGUCAGCGGUGAAAGUUUGCAGCUUAACUGUAAAAAUGCCGUUGGAACUGUCGGACUUGAGUGUAAAUGAGGUAGGCGGAAUGCGUGGUGUAGCGGUGAAAUGCAUAGAUAUCACGCAGAACUCCGAUUGCGAAGGCAGCUUACUAAGCUACAACUGACACUGAAGCACGAAAGCGUGGGGAUCAAACAGGAUUAGAUACCCGAGUAGUCC